rnacentral:lncRNA from 1 species
AUCUCUGACUGCAUCCCAUUUGGAUGUUGCAUUGAUACCUCGAAUAUUCCAACAUAAAAUAUUCCAAUUUCUAUUAUUCAUUUAAACCAUUGGUGUUUGUGGUUCGCAUCUGAACACCACAAGGGUGCCAGCUGAAAAGGAAACUCAGCUCGAAAACCUUGAGUAGUAGCAUUAAAAAACAUCAAGAAAUAGAUGAAAGGGUUAGCUGGAAAUGCAAAAAAUGUACAAAACGUAACAGCAACAGUAACACCAGCCCCAUGGUGUAAAC